UCACAAAAUGAAGAUUUCGAUUCCUGAUUCUAAUCUCGAUUUGACAACUAUGAUCUAAUGUCAAUGUGACGUAAAGUAAGUGUAUCUUCUAGUGAUAUUUUGGAGUGUAUGGAUAACAGCUUAAAUAAUAAUGGGUUUUUGUGUCAAUUGAUAAUCUUCCCACUAAUAUAAACACUCUAUUCUUUGUCUGUAAUGAUGUGACAGGCUGGUUGGUACAUCAUGAUAAAAGAGAUCAAUUUCAGAAACAACAAAAUAUGAUUUCGCCCUCCCUUUUUCCUCCAAUACUUUAAUAAGCUUCCAGCAUGUAUUGUAAUGAUUAUGGAGUAUGUGUACUUUAAGAGAGAGAAGGCUCUAUCUAAUUUUAAAGCUCUGUGUUGCCAACACUGUUCAGCGUUCUGCAGCUGGGCACCAUUUAGCCAAUGCUAGGCAUAUUCCUUUUUGUUCUGAUCAUACUCUUCCUUUUGUUCUCUCCUUGCCACUGUGUUAUAAUUGUUCUUCCUCAGACCUGGAAACUUUAAGAUUUUCGA
rnacentral:misc_RNA from 1 species